rnacentral:rRNA from 1 species
ACGUAGGUGGCGAGCGUUAUCCGGAAUUAUUGGGCGUAAAGAGGGAGCAGGCGGUACUAAGGGUCUGUGGUGAAAGAUCGAAGCUUAACUUCGGUAAGCCAUGGAAACCGUAGAGCUAGAGUGUGUGAGAGGAUCGUGGAAUUCCAUGUGUAGCGGUGAAAUGCGUAGAUAUAUGGAGGAACACCAGUGGCGAAGGCGACGAUCUGGCGCAUAACUGACGCUCAGUCCCGAAAGCGUGGGGAGCAAAUAG